rnacentral:rRNA from 1 species
AAGGAAUAUUGGUCAAUGGACGCAAGUCUGAACCAGCCAUGCCGCGUGAAGGAUGAAGGUCCUCUGGAUUGUAAACUUCUUUUAUCUGGGACGAAAACGGGAUUUUUAUCUCAAUUGACGGUACCAGAGGAAUAAGCACCGGCUAACUCCGUGCCAGCAGCCGCGGUAAUACGGAGGGUGCGAGCGUUAUCCGGAUUUACUGGGUUUAAAGGGUGCGUAGGUGGGCUUAUAAGUCAGUGGUGAAAUCUCCGAGCUUAACUUGGGAACUGCCGUUGAUACUAUAGGUCUUGAAUUAUCUGGAGGUCAGCGGAAUAUGUCAUGUAGCGGUGAAAUGCUUAGAUAUGACACAGAACACCAAUUGCGAAGGCAGCUUACUACAUAUAAAUUGACGCUGAGGCACGAAAGCGUGGGGAUCAAACA